rnacentral:rRNA from 1 species
UCAUCUCCGGGGGUAGAGCACUGUUUCGGCAAGGGGGUCAUCCCGACUUACCAACCCGAUGCAAACUGCGAAUACCGGAGAAUGUUAUCACGGGAGACACACGGCGGGUGCUAACGUCCGUCGUGAAGAGGGAAACAACCCAGACCGCCAGCUAAGGUCCCAAAGUCAUGGUUAAGUGGGAAACGAUGUGGGAAGGCCCAGACAGCCAGGAUGUUGGCUUAGAAGCAGCCAUCAUUUAAAGAAAGCGUAAUAGCUCACUGGUCGAGUCGGCCUGCGCGGAAGAUGUAACGGGGCUAAACCAUGCACCGAAGCUGCGGCAGCGACACUGUGUGUUGUUGGGUAGGGGAGCGUUCUGUAAGCCUGUGAAGGUGUGCUGUGAGGCAUGCUGGAGGUAUCAGAAGUGCGAAUGCUGACAUAAGUAACGAUAAAGCGGGUGAAAAGCCCGCUCGCCGGAAGACCAAGGGUUCCUGUCCAACGUUAAUCGGGGCAGGGUGAGUCGACCCCUAAGGCGAGGCCGAAAGGCGUAGUCGAUGGGAAACAGGUUAAUAUUCCUGUACUUGGUGUUACUGCGAAGGGGGGACGGAGAAGGCUAUGUUGGCCGGGCGACGGUUGUCCCGGUUUAAGCGUGUAGGCUGGUUUUCCAGGCAAAUCCGGAAAAUCAAGGCUGAGGCGUGAUGACGAGGCACUACGGUGCUGAAGCAACAAAUGCCCUGCUUCCAGGAAAAGCCUCUAAGCAUCAGGUAACAUCAAAUCGUACCCCAAACCGACACAGGUGGUCAGGUAGAGAAUACCAAGGCGCUUGAGAGAACUCGGGUGAAGGAACUAGGCAAAAUGGUGCCGUAACUUCGGGAGAAGGCACGCUGAUAUGUAGGUGAAGUCCCUCGCGGAUGGAGCUGAAAUCAGUCGAAGAUACCAGCUGGCUGCAACUGUUUAUUAAAAACACAGCACUGUGCAAACACGAAAGUGGACGUAUACGGUGUGACGCCUGCCCGGUGC